UGAAGGAUGCCUGGACAGCUGGUAAAAUGUUAUUUCUGGGUGCGUCUGUGAGGGCACUUCUGGAAGAGAUGCCGAUUUGAAUUGUGGACUGAGUAAGAAAGAUACACUCUCACCAAAGUGUGUGGCCUCAACCAAUCCUCAAGUCCUGGAGAGAAUGAAAUGUGCAGGAAGGGCUCUUUCUCCUAGAGACCUCAGACCCACCACACCGCGCAGUGCCCUGGCCUGUCCCAGAAGGAGAGGUGUGUCCUGGGCUCCCUCAGGACCCGGCCUCGCUUCUCAGCCCUAAUUACCUACUGGCUUCCCUGGCUCUCGGGCUUGCAGAUGGCAGAGUGCAGGACCUCUCAGACUCCAUCAUCCUGUGAGCCAGCUCCCCAACACAUCUCCUCUUACCUGUCACCAGUUCCUCUAUCCCGCCUCCUGUCCAUGGUAUGGUUUCUGUUUCUCUGGAGGAUGAUGACUAAUUGGCCCCUGAGGCUCCAAAGCACAAUGCCAGGCUUUCUGCAGAUGUCAGAAUUUGCCAGUGACCCAUGACCAGGGGGUCUUGUCCUGGCUCCGCUCUCAAGCACCGAUGAGUUGAUCAGGCCAGGCUGGCAUCAACACCACAUCUUGGCACAAAGCAGCCAGUGGGGACACUCGCUCCUGGCAGGGCCCCGCCUAAAGGUGUAGGCGCAGCUGUCCUGGAAGCGCGAGGAACUGGAGAAAACGGGCAGGCUGAGUACACAACAGGGAGGCAGACCCAGGACACUGAGGAUGUCCCUGUCGCAGGAGGACACGUUUUCACAGAAGUGGAGCCAGCCUGGUGGUUUACAUUUUCCCACAAAAGGAUCCACCAUGACCCCGCACAACUGCAGGAGAUCCUCCCUCGGGGUCCUUUCAACGCUGAACAACCCUGGGUGACAGGGGUGCAUUCUCAGUCCCAGGGCGGACACAGAGAUCAACGCUCCCAAGGCCUAGGGGAGCAGCUCCAGGGCCUCUUCUGAGUGCUGGAGUGGGUCCCUGAGCCUGAGACCAUGCACAGCCUCUCACGACCGCCUCCCACUCCCACUGUGGUGAUGGUGGGGUUGAGAAACAAAUGGCAUCAAAUCAACCACCCCACUGAAAUACCUCCUUUCUGAGACCCCUGGAAGGUGUCACUGAAGGAAGCUCCAAUGUCUGCAGUCCAGCUCAGCGAGCGGCCUCACAAAGCUGAUAUCCCAAAUAUUCUCCAGGAAAAGUCCAGUGCUUUUCCACAUGGGUUCCAAAGUAAAAGCCCAUUUAUGCAACAAAGAAGCUGGAGUUUAUUUCAACAUAGAGAAGAUGCAAAAGGCAACCUCUUCUUAAAUAAGAUGGUCUUCUAAUUCUAAUCAAAGACAGCAGGGGGCCCCAUCUAAGAUGUAAUAACGUCGCACCACCACGGCAAAGACUAUAGGUAAAAACUCACCUCUCCAAUCAUGCCUUCUGCAGGAAAGCCGGCGCGCUCUCUGCUGCGGGCAUAAUUGCCCAGGUGCCAGUGUUUGCCUCACUCCCAAGCACUUGCUUAAACCCUAGGUGGUUGGCUUCUCAAAAUAAAAUGCACAUCUCAUUUUACUCUGAAUAAAAGUGAAACCUUUUUUAAAGGACAAAUGUAAGAGAAAUUAAAGGGGUGGUAAUAACAUUAUCACGUCUGGAAGUGAAUGGAAGAGACACAUUUUGAUGAAGAAAUGAGGUUAUUUUGGCCACACAGAAAAUCUCUAGUCCCCAUUGCCUCUACUUAGAACAAAAUUGUGUCUCUUUCCAUGAAUAAAUCAAAAGUG
rnacentral:lncRNA from 1 species